rnacentral:rRNA from 1 species
CCUACUGGUGGCAGCAGUGAGGAAUAUUGGUCAAUGGGCUUACGCCUGAACCAGCCAAGUCGCGUGAGGGAAGACUGCCCUAUGGGUUGUAAACCUCUUUUGUCAGGGAGCAACGCCGGCUACGUGUAGCCGGACUGAGAGUACCUGAAGAAAAAGCAUCGGCUAACUCCGUGCCAGCAGCCGCGGUAAUACGGAGGAUGCGAGCGUUAUCCGGAUUUAUUGGGUUUACAGGGUGCGUAGGCGGAAUGCCAAGUCAGCGGUAAAAUCGCGGGGCUCAACCUCGCUCCGCCGUUGAAACUGGCGUUCUUGAGUGGGCGAGAAGUAUGCGGAAUGCGUGGUGUAGCGGUGAAAUGCUUAGAUAUGACGAAGAACCCCGAUUGCGAAGGCAGCUUGCUGCAGCGGAACUGACGCUGAUGCUCGAAAGCGCGGGUAUCGAACAGGAUUAGAUACCCGAGUAGUC